rnacentral:rRNA from 1 species
CAACCUAAGAGUUUGAUCCUGGCUCAGAACGAACGCUGGCGGCAGGCCUAACACAUGCAAGUCGAACGUGAAGCCGCCCUUCGGGGCGGUGGAAAGUGGCGCACGGGUGAGUAACGCGUGGGAACCAACCCUGAGGUACGGAAUAACGGCUGGAAACGGCUGCUAAUACCGUAUGUGCCCUACGGGGGAAAGAUUUAUCGCCUUGGGACGGGCCCGCGUCGGAUUAGCUUGUUGGUGGGGUAACGGCCCACCAAGGCUCCGAUCCGUAGCUGGUCUGAGAGGAUGAUCAGCCACACUGGAACUGAGACACGGUCCAGACUCCUACGGGAGGCAGCAGUGGGG